rnacentral:lncRNA from 1 species
AAACGGAAUAUUUGCUGAUUUCCCAUCCAAAAAUAACGCAGAUAAUUAAGGUAGAAAAUAGAUUCUUAAUAAAGUGUAGCCUAAAAUAACGCAUAUCUUAAUGGCUUCUAAUUAAUCCCACAUUGAUGUAUCCUCAUAAUUCUUAGGCUAUUCUCAACCGCAAGAUAUUAUUGCAUUUUUUGUGUUAUCUUGGUCUAUUUUUUCGUCCAAAACAGUUACGCCUCAAGCCUUGUGCACAGAAAUCCUUCUUCUCUUCUUUCUGUUUCUUCAUCUUUUCUUGUUUCUU